rnacentral:rRNA from 1 species
CACGUAGGGCGCGAGCGUUGUCCGGAAUUAUUGGGCGUAAAGAGCUCGUAGGCGGCCUGUUGCGUCCGCUGUGAAAGCCCGGGGCUUAACCCCGGGUCGGCAGUGGAUACGGGCAGGCUAGAGGUAGGUAGGGGAGAAUGGAAUUCCCGGUGUAGCGGUGAAAUGCGCAGAUAUCAGGAGGAACACCGGUGGCGAAGGCGGGUCUCUGGGACGGUACUGACGCUGAGACGCGAAAGCGUGGGGAGCAAACAGG